rnacentral:rRNA from 1 species
AUACGUAGGUGGCGAGCGUUAUCCGGAUUUACUGGGUGUAAAGGGCGCGUAGGCGGGGAUGCAAGUCAGAUGUGAAAUCUAUGGGCUUAACUCAUAAACUGCAUUUGAAACUGUAUUUCUUGAGUGCUGGAGAGGUAGACGGAAUUCCUUGUGUAGCGGUGAAAUGCGUAGAUAUAAGGAAGAACACCAGUGGCGAAGGCGUUCUACUGGACAGAAACUGACGCUGAGGCGCGAAAGCGUGGGGAGCAAACAGGAUUAGAUCCCCUGGUAGUCCACGCCGUAAACGAUGAAAACUAGGUGUGGGGGGACGGACCCCCUACGUGCCGCAGUUAACACAAUAAGUAUUCCACCUGGGGAGUACGGCCGCAAGGUUGAAACUCAAAGGAAUUGACGGGG